AUUGAACGCUGGCGGCAGGCCUAACACAUGCAAGUCGAGCGGAGCGGCGGACGGGUGAGUAAUGCCUAGGAAUCUGCCUGGUAGUGGGGGAUAACGUCCGGAAACGGGCGCUAAUACCGCAUACUAUCAGAUGAGCCUAGGUCGGAUUAGCGAGUUGGGGGGGUAAAGGCCUACCAAGGCGACGAUCCGUAACUGGUCUGAGAGGAUGAUCAGUCACACUGUAACUGAGACACGGUCCAGACUCCUACGGGAGGCAGAGGUGGGGAAUAUUGGACAAUAGGCGCAAGCCUGAGGCAGCCAUGCCGCGUGUAUGAAGAAGGCCUUAGGGUUGUAAAGUACUUUCAGCGGGGAGGCGUUACCCGCAGAAGAAGCACCGGCUAACUCCGUGCCAGCAGCCGCGGUAAUAC
rnacentral:rRNA from 1 species